AAUAUCACAGACUGUUCUAAUCUCAGUCAGUUUUUACACUCCGAACGAAACGAUUCAAAGUUUCAGUUUUAUCUGUUCACUGUUAGAAGUUGAAGUGAUUGCAUUCCAGACUCUCAAAGACUGUUUAAAUGUGUGCAGAGUUUGAUGAGGAAUAGCUUGUGUUAGUUAAACAAUCGGUCUAAUUUUAAUGUAUUCUGUAACGGUACCUAGUUGAUAUUAUUAAAUUUAUAAUAAUAAAAGUACGGGAGGAACACUGAACAACUGGGUGGUAGCAUAUAGCCUACAUACUUGCAUGCUCUUUUGAAGUCAAUUUACUCUAGUAAAACAAUGGGAGAUCAAUCUUUCGAACAACUCAUAGGAACUGCUGCAAGUGUUUCUUCGAUAGGUCUCCUAAUAGCACCUGGAUUGAUAUGCAAAAAUAUCUUGAAAAACAAGUCAGCCAAAUACGUUCCUCCCUUUGUAUUCACACAACACAUAGCAAGGUGAGUGCAAAGUUUUGAAUUUUCAAUAAAUAAAUAAUUCAAU